AUGCAUGGAAUGUGAAAGGUUGGCCACCCCUGAUUUAAAGGAAAGAGUCACUACAUUUACUGGAGCAAUCAAUGCUAACGGAUCUGUGAGAAUAGACAAUGUCACGUAUAAUUCCAAGACCCAUGUUCUACACUCUUCUCUGGAACAGCUGACCAUGAAAUGGCAAAUGACAGCUAAAGACCUAAGGAUGACCACAGUUUGAAUAAUGGUAUUAUGGCAACAACCUUUCCCCUCAGUGCCAGCACAACAAAGGAACUGGUCAUUGGCUUCAGAAAGGAGCAGCGCACAUGCCCCUGUCUACAACAAUGGUGCUGAGGU